CUGCAUCUUUAUUCCUGCCCUGCCCCUAGGUUCAUCUGUACCACUUUUUAAAAUCGCAUAUAUAUGCGUUAGCAUACAGUAUUUGUUUUUCUCUUUCUGACUUACUUCACUCUGUAUGACAGAUUCUACGUCCAUGUACCUCAGCACAAAUAACUCAAUUUCGUUCCUUUUUAUGGCUGAGUAAUAUUCCAAUAUAUAUAUAUGUGCCACAUCUUCUUUAUCCAUUCAUCUGUUGAUGGACACUUAGGUUGGUUCCAUGUCCUGGCUAUUGUAAAUAGUGCUGCAAUGAACAUUGUGGUACAUGACUCUUUUUGAAUUAUGGUUUUCUCAGGGUAUAUGCCCAGUAGUGGGAUUGCUGGGUCAUAUGGUAGUUCUAUUUGUAGUUUUUUAAGGAACCUACAUAGUGUUCUCAAUAGUGGAUCUAUCAAUUUACAUUCCCACCAACAGUGCAAGAGGGUUCCCUUUUCUCCACACCCUCUCCAGCAUUUAUUGUUAAUAGAUUUUUUGCUGAUGGCCAUUCUGACCAGUGUGAGGUGAUACCUCAUUUUGGUUUUGAUUUGCAUUUCUCUAAUGAUUAGUAACGUUGAGCAUAUUUUCAUGUAUUUGUUAGCUAUCUGUAUGUCCUCUUUGGAGAAAUGUCUAUCUAGGUCUUCUGCCCAUUUUUGGAUUGGGUUGUUUGUUUUUAUGAUAUUGAGCUGCAUGAGCUGAUUGUAUAUUUUGGAGAUUAAUCCUUUGUCAGUUGCUUCGUUUGCAAAUAUUUUCUCCCAUUCUGAGGGUUGUCUUUUCAUCUUGUUUAUGGUUUCCUUUGCUGUGCAAAAGCUUUUAAGUUUCAUUAGGUCCCAUUUGUUUAUUUUUGUUUUUAUUUCCCUUAUUCUAGGAGGUGGGUCAAAAAGGAUCUUGCUGUGAUUUAUGUCAUAGAGUGUUCUCCCUAUGUUUUCCUCUAAGCGUUUUAUAGUGUCUGGCCUUACAUUUAGGUCUUUAAUUCAUUUUGACUUUAUUUUUGUAUCUGGAGUUAUGGUGUGUUCUAAUUUCAUUCUUUUACAUGUAGCUGUCCAGUUUUCCCAGCACCCCUUAUUGAAGAGGCUGUGUUUUCUCCAUUGUAUAUUCUUGUCUCCUUUAUCAAAGACAAGGUGACCCUAUGUGCAUAGGUAUAUCUUUGGGCUUUCUAUCCUUUUCUAUUGAUCUAUAUUUCUGUUUUGGUGCCAGUACCAUACUAUCUUGAUUACUGUAGCUUUGUAGUAUAGUCUGAAGUCAGGGAGCCUGAUUCCUCCAGGUCUGUUUUUCUUUCUCAAGAUUGCUUUGGCUAUUUGGGGUAUUUUGUGCUUCCAUACAAAAUUGUGGAAUUUUUUGUUCUAGUUCUGUGAAAAAUGCCACUGGUAAUUUGAUAAGGAUUGCAUUGAAUCUGUAGAUCACUUUGGGUAGUAUAGUCAUUUUCACAAUAUUGAUUCUUCCAAUCCAGGAGCAUGGUAUACCUCUCCAUCUGUUUAUGUUAUCUUUGAUUUCUUUCAUCAGUGUUUUAUAGUUUUCUGAGUACAGGACUUUUGCCUCCUGAGGUAGGUUUAUUCCUAGGUAUUUUAUUUUUUUUGUUGCGAUGGUAUCGGAUUGUUUCCUCAAUUUCUCUUUCUGAUCUUUUGUUGUUAGUGUAUAGGAGUGUAAGAGAUUUCUGUGCAUUAAUUUUGUAUCCUGCAACCUUACCAAAUUCAUUGAUUAGCUCUAGUAGUUUUCCGGUGACAUCCUUAGAAUUUUCUAUGUAUAGUAUCAUGUCAUCGGCAAACAGUCACAGUUUUACUUCUUUUCCAAUUUGUAUGCCUUUUAUUUCUUUUUCUCUCUGAUUGCUGUGGCUAGGACUCCCAAUACUAUGUUGAAUAAUAGUGGCAAGAGUGGACUUUCUUGUCUUGCUCCUGAUCUUAGAGGAAAUGCUUUCAGUUUUUCACCAUUGAGAAUGAUGUCUUCUGUGGGUUUGUCAUAUAUGGCCUUUAUUAUGUUGAGGUAGGUUCCCUCUAUGCCCACUUUCUGGAGUUUUUGUCAUAAAUGGGUGUUGAAUUCUGCCAAAAGCUUUUUCUGCAUUUAUUGAGAUAAUCAUAUGGUUUUUAUUCCUUAAUUUGUUAAUAUGGUGUAUCACAUUGAUUGUUUUGUGUAUAUUGAAGAAUCCUUGGAUCCCUGGGAUAAAUCCCACUUGAUCAUGGUGUAUGAUUCUUUUAAUGUGCUGUUGGAUUCUGUUUGCUAAUAUUUUGUAGAGGAUUUUUGCAUCUAUGUUCAUCAGUGAUAUUGGUCUCUAAUUUUCUUUUUUUGUGAUAUGUUUGUUUGGUUUUGGUAUCAGGGUGAUGGCAGCCCUCAUAGAAUAAUUUGGGAGUGUUCCUCCCUCCACAAUUUUUCGGAAGAGUUUGAAAAGGAUAGGUGUUAACUCUUCUCUAAGUGUCUUAGAGAAUUCUCCUGUGAAGCCAUCUGUUCCUAGACUUUUGUUUGUUGGAAUAUUUUUAAUUACAGUUUCAAUUUCAUAACCUGUGAUUGGUCUGUUUAUGUUUUCUAAUUCUUCCUGGUUCAAUCUUGGAAAGUUGUACUUUUCCAGGAAUUUGUCCAUUUCUUUCAGGUUGUCCAUUUUAUUGGCAUAGAGUUGCUUGUAGUAGUCUCUUAUAAUCUUUUGUAUUUCUGUGGUGUCAGUUGUAAUCUCUCCCUUUUCAUUUCUAAUUUUAUUGAUUUGAGUCCUCUCCCUUUUUUUCUUGAUAAGUCUGGCUAAAGGUUUAACAGUUUUGUUUAUCUUCUCAAAGAACCAGUUUUUAGUUUUAUUGAUCUUUGCUAUUGUUUUCUUUGUUUCUAUUUCAUUUAUUUUUGCUCUGAUCUUAUGAUUUCUUUCCUUCUGCUAAUUUUGGGUUUUCUUUGUUCUUUUUCUAGUUGCUUUAGGUGUAAGGUUAGAUUGUUUAUUUGAGAUUUUUCUUGUUUCUUGAGGUGAGCUUGAAUUGCUAUGAACUUCCCUCUUACAACUGCUUAAGCUGUGUCCCAUAGGUUUUGGAUCAUUGUGUUUUCAUUGUCAUUUGUUCUAGGUAUUUUUUUAUUUCUUCUUUGAUUUCUUCAUUGAUCUCUUGGUUAUUUAGCAGCACACUGUUUAGCCUCCAUGUAUUUGUCUUUUACUGUUCUUUUUCCUGUAAUUGAUUUCUAAUCUCAUAGCAUUGUGGUCAGAAAACAUGCUUGAUACGAUUUCAAUUUUCUUAAAUUUUCCAAGGCUUGAUUAGUGAUCUAUUCUGGAGAUCAUUCCAUGUGCACCUCAGAAGAAAGUGUAUUUUUCCACUUUCAGGUGGAAUGUCCUAAAAAUAUCAGUUAGGUCUCUUUGGUCUAUUGUGUCUUUUAAAACUUGUGUUUCCUUAUUUAUUUUCUCUCUGGAUGAUCUGCCUAUUGGUGUAAGUGGGGUGUUAAAAUCCCCCACUACUAUUGUGUUACUGUUGAUUUCCCUUUAUGGCUGUUAAUAUUUGCCUUAUGUAUUGAGGUACUCCUAUGUUGGGUGCAUAAAUAUUUAUAGUUGUUACGUUUUCUUCUUGGAUUGAUCGCUUGAUCAUGAUGUAGUGUCCUUCCUUAUCUCUUGUAACAGUCUUUAUUUUAAAACUAUUUUAUCUUAUAUAAGUAUAGCUACUCCAGCUUUCUUUUGAUUUCCAUUGGCAUGCAAUAUAUUUUUCCAUCCCCUCACUUUCAGUCUAUAUGUGUCCCUAGAUCUGAAGUGGGUUUCUUGUAGACAGCAUAUAUAAGGCUCUUGUUUUUGUAUCCAUUCAGCCAGUCUGUCUUUUGGUUGGAGCAUUUAAUCCAUUUACAUUCAAGGUUAUUAUCAAUAUGGAUGUUCCUAUUACCAUUUUCUUAAUUGAUUUGGGUUUGUUUUUGUGGGUCUUUUUCUUCUCUAGUGUUUCCGCUUAGAGAAGUUCCUUUAGCAUUUUGUUGUAAAGCUGGUUUGGUGGUGCUGAAUUCCCUUAGCUUUUGCUUGUCUGUAAAGCUUUUGAUUUCUCUGUCAAAUCUGAAUGAGAUCCUUGGCAGGUAGACUAAUCUUGGUUGUCAGUUUUUCUCUUUCAUCACUUUAAAUAUGUCCUACCACUCCCUUCUGGCUUGCAGAGUUUCUGCUGAAAGAUCAUCUGUUAAUCUUAUGGGGAUUCCUUUUUAUGUUAUUUGUUGAUUUUCCCAUGUUGCUUUCAAUAUUUUUUCUUUGUAUUUAAUUUUUAAUAGUUUGAUUAAUAUGUGUGUCAGCGUGUUUCUCUUUGGGUUCAUCCUGUAUGGGACUCUCUGCACUUCCUGGACUUGAUUGACUAUUUCCUUUCCCGUGUUAUGUAAGUUUUUGACUAUAAUCUAUUCAAAUAUUUUCUCACUUUAUUUUUCUCUUCUUCUUCUGGGACCCCUCUAAUUCAAAUGUUGGUGUGUUUAAUAUGGUCCCAGAGGUCUCUGAGACUGUUGUCAGUUCUUUUCAUUCUUUUUUCUGCUCCCUGCUGUUAUUUCCACCAUUUUAUCUUCCAGCUCACUUAUCCGUUCUUCUGCCUCAGUUAUUCUGCUAUUGAUUCCUUCUAGAGUAUUUUUAAUUUCAGUUAUUGUAUUGUUCAUCACUGUUUGUUUGCUCUAUAGUUCUUCUAGAUCCUUGUUAAAUGUUUCUUGUAUUUUCUCCAUUAUGUUUCUGAGAUUUUGGAUCAUCUUAACUAUCAUUGCUCUGAACUCUUUUUCAGGUAGGUUGCCUAUUUCAUCUUCAUUUAUUUGGUCUUGUAGGUUUUUACCUUGCUACUUUGUCUGCAACAUAUCUUUUGUCAUAUAUUUUUUUAUCGGUGGGGCAUAUUCCAGUGUCACUGGUUGUUUGGCCUGCAGCGUCCAGCACUGGAGUUUGCAGGCAGUUGGAUAGAGCCGGGUCUUGGUGCCAAGAUGAGGACCUUUGGGAGGUCUCACUCCGAUUAAUAUUCCCUGGGGUCUGAGGAUCCUUGUUAGUCCAGCGAUUUGGAUUCAGAGCUCCCACCACAGGAGCUCAGGCCCAACCUCCGGCCUGGGAACCAAGAUCCCGCAAAACAUGUGGCAUGGUUAAAAAAAAAAAAAAGAAAAGAAAAGAAGGAACAAUACAAUAACAAUGAAUAAAAAACAAAAUAAAAUUAGAAAGAUAAAAAAUGUAUUAGGAAAAAUAAAAAUAUAAUUGAAACAACUGCAACAAGGUGAAACAAAACCACAACAGAAAAAAGAAAGAAAAUAAAGGGGGGGAACAAGCCAAAAAGAGCAGAACAAUGACGAAGUAUAAAGAAUAAAAUAAAAUAAGAAAAAUAAAAGAUUUAUUAGAAAAAAUAAAAAUAUAAAUGAAUCAACAACAAGGUAAAACAGAAACCCAAUCUAAAAGAGGAAAAAGAAAAAAAAAAAAAGCCUUGGCUAUGGGGGUCAGAGUUUAGGCAGGGGUGUAACUUAGGCAGUGGUGGGGGUGACUUUUGAGCAUGGGGCAGGGCCUAGUCAGGGUUACGUUCAAGCGUGGGGUGGAGCCCUGCUUAGGACCUGCCCAUGAAAUGGGAGAGGUAGCACCUCCAAAGAAGGGCCCUCGGAAUGUGGAGUUCUGGAGUUUGGAGGACCUCAGUGGAUUGGAUAAUGCCCACCCACAUUGGUGAAGGUGAUCUUCUUUACUCAGUCUGCCAAUUCAAAUGCUAAAUCUCAUCUAGCAACACCCUCACAGACACACUCAGCUAUCUGGGCAUACCUUACUCCAAGGACAAGUCUCAACUGUCUCUGAUGUGCAGGCCACAAGAAGGACCCUGUGCCUGAGGAGUGAAUGGGAGGACAAGAGCCCCCAGAGACUCAUCAGAUAUGAGUGCUAUUCUUCUUAAUGUGAAUGAGCCAUUACCACAAAACUUCCAUUCCUACUGAUCCAGAAUUUUAACUGAUUUUCUUUUGUGCUUCAAUUGCUUUUUACAUUUCCAGUGCAUUAACCAUGGAAAAUGACAUUGGUCCUAUGGGAAUAUGUAUUCUGAUUUUCAGUAAUUGAUUAAAAUUGAUUAAACUUUUUAGAACCCA